GAUGAACGCUAGCUACAGGCUUAACACAUGCAAGUCGAGGGGAAACGAUAUUGGAAGCUUGCUUCCGAUAGGCGUCGACCGGCGCACGGGUGAGUAACGCGUAUCCAACCUGCCCAUCACUUGGGAAUAACCUUGCGAAAGUAAGACUAAUGCCCAAUGACAUUUAUAGAAGGCAUCUGAAAUGAAUUAAAGAUUUAUCGGUGAUGGAUGGGGAUGCGUCUGAUUAGCUUGUUGGCGGGGUAACGGCCCACCAAGGCGACGAUCAGUAGGGGUUCUGAGAGGAAGGUCCCCCACAUUGGAACUGAGACACGGUCCAAACUCCUACGGGAGGCAGCAGUGAGGAAUAUUGGUCAAUGGGCGAGAGCCUGAACCAGCCAAGUAGCGUGCAGGAAGACGGCCCUAUGGGUUGUAAACUGCUUUAUAGGGAAUGAAGUGAGCCACGUGUGGUUUUUUGCAUGUACCCUAUGAAUAAGGACCGGCUAAUUCCGUGCCAGCAG
rnacentral:rRNA from 1 species